CCUACGGGCGGCAGCAGUGGGGACUAUUGCGCAAUGGGCGAAAGCCUGCCGCAGCGACGCCGCGUGAGGGAUCAAGGUCUUCGGAUCGUACACCUCUGUCAGCAGGGAAGAACGGUCACUGUGCUAAUCAGCAGUGAAUUGACGGUACCUGCAAAGGAAGCACCGGCUAACUCAGUGCCAGCAGCCGCGGUAAUACGGCGGGUGCGAGCGUUAAUCGGAAUUACUGGGCGUAAAGCGCUCGUCGGCGGUAUGUCAAGUCAAGGGUGAAAUCCCCGCGCUCAACGUGGGAACUGCCUUUGAAACUGGCAAACUGGAGUGUGAGAGAGGAUAGUGGAAUUCCAGGUGUAGGAGUGAAAUCCGUAGAUAUCUGGAGGAACAUCAGUGGCGAAGGCGACUAUCUGGCACAUAACUGACGCUGAGGAGCGAAAGCGUGGGUAGCAAACAGGAGUAGAUACCCCUGUAGUC
rnacentral:rRNA from 1 species